CUUCCUUCCCCUUUGGCCAAAGAGCCGCCACCCAGGGGACAGCCACACCCGACAGCGAGUGACAGCCAGUGCACAUGGCUGGGGACAGCGGGAUGGCCGGGAAGGUGGCGCUGCUCCUGUGGGCCCAGACCCUCGGCCUCGCUGGUGCCCAGACCACCCAGCUCCUGGUGGAGCCCCCCUGGAGGCCGGCGGUGCUGUGGGACCGGGUGAUACUGACUUGCCAGGGCUCGGGGAGCUCCUGG